rnacentral:rRNA from 1 species
AGUGAAUAAUUCAACGGCCGCGGUACCCUAACCGUGCAAAGGUAGCAUAAUCACUUGUCUAUUAAUUGUAGACCAGCAUGAACGGUAAAAUGAAGGCCUAACUGUCUCUUAUAGUAAAUCAAUUAAACUGAUCCCCUAGUAAAAAAGCUAGGAUAACUACAUAAGACCAGAAGACCCUGUGAAGCUUAAACUACCCUAUUAAACCCUAUAAUAGCUACUUUCGGUUGGGGCGACCCUGGAAAGAAAAAGAACUUCCAAUAAUGGCUAUAAACCACACACAGGCCCACAAGCCCACACUGACCCAGUAAAACUGAUAAUCGAACCAAGUUACUCCAGGGAUAACAGCGCCAUCUUCUUCAAGAGUCCAUAUCAAAAAGAAGGUUUACGACCUCGAUGUUGGAUCAGGACAUCCUAA